UAAAUUGUGUUGUUUUUUUUUUUUUAUUAAUUCUUUUUUUUUUUUACACUGAAAUUAAUUUUUUAAUGAAACUGGUCGUUUUAGUGUUAUAUAUUGUAGACAUCUAUUCAAAAUUAUUUUAAAUACAUUUUUCGAAAGAAAUCAUACAUGUAUUUGAAUUUCUGUACCAAUUGUGUGAGUAAAAUUUCUUACCUAAGAUUAUGUAUUAUAGUUAGUGUCACGUACACAGUAUUUAUAUUUAGCUCGUCAAAGACCUCA